UACGAAGGGGGCAAGCGUUGUUCGGAAUUACUGGGCGUAAAGGGCUCGUAGGCGGCCAACUAAGUCAGACGUGAAAUCCCUCGGCUUAACCGGGGAACUGCAUCUGAUACUGGAUGGCUUGAGUUCGGGAGAGGGAUGCGGAAUUCCAGGUGUAGCGGUGAAAUGCGUAGAUAUCUGGAGGAACACCGGUGGCGAAGGCGGCGUUCUGGACUGCAACUGACACUGAGGAACGAAAGCCAGGGGAGCAAACGGG
rnacentral:rRNA from 1 species